rnacentral:lncRNA from 1 species
UAGUAAAAAAAAUCAACAAGAAGAUGGAGGGGAAUGUAUGCAGAUGUGGUUCCCCAGCAUAGAUGAAGACCUCGUGGACGAACUUGAACCCGGGAAGAAGAUUUCUCACUUGUCCUCGAAGCCAAGAUGUGGGUGGAUGUACCUUCUUUAUGUGGUGUGACCCUCCGAUGUGUGAGAGAUCGAAGGAACUGAUUCCUGGUCUAUUACGAGCUAGGAGGAAAAUGGAAGCUGAAAUCGACACCCUUCAAGCAACAAGACCAAAUGUGUGGAAGAUCUGGCUCUUCGACUUUGUGUGUGGAGUGUUUGCAAAAUGGGUUUGUUCCUAUGUAUGUAGGGUUAGAUUGUAG